rnacentral:rRNA from 1 species
UACGGGGGGGGCAAGCGUUGUUCGGAAUUACUGGGCGUAAAGGGCUCGUAGGUGGCCAACUAAGUCGGACGUGAAAUCCCUCGGCUUAACCGGGGAACUGCAUCCGAUACUGGAUGGCUUGAGUUCGGGAGAGGGAUGCGGAAUUCCAGGUGUAGCGGUGAAAUGCGUAGAUAUCUGGAGGAACACCGGGUGGCGAAGGCGGCAUCCUGGACCGACACUGACGCUGAGGAGCGAAAGCCAGGGGAGCAAACGGG